rnacentral:rRNA from 1 species
UACCUGCAGCUCGAGUGGUAACCGCUAUUAUUGGGCCUAAAGCGUCCGUAGCCGGUUUGGUAAAUAUCUGGGUAAAUCGUGAGGCUUAACUUCACGAAUUUCGGAUAGACUGCCAGACUUGGGGAUCGGGGGAGGUCAGAGGUACUCCAGGGGUAGGCGGUGAAAUGUUGUAAUCCUUGGAGGACCACCGGUAGCGAAGGCGUCUGACUAGAACGAGUCCGACGGUGAGGGACGAAGCCCUGGGGCGCAAACCGGAUUAGAUACCCGGGUAGUCCAGGGUGUAAACGAUGUGGGCUUUGUAUUGGAGGUCCCACGUGGGCGUCCAGUGCAGAAGAGAAGUUGUUAAGCCCACCGCCUGGGAAGUACGGUCGCAAGGCUGAAACUUAAAGGAAUUGGCGGGGGAGCACAGCAACGGGAGGAGCGUGCGGUUU